rnacentral:rRNA from 1 species
CGGCGGACGGGUGAGUAAUGUCUGGGAAACUGCCUGAUGGAGGGGGAUAACUACUGGAAACGGUAGCUAAUACCGCAUGACCUCGAAAGAGCAAAGUGGGGGAUCUUCGGACCUCACGCCAUCGGAUGUGCCCAGAUGGGAUUAGCUAGUAGGUGAGGUAAUGGCUCACCUAGGCGACGAUCCCUAGCUGGUCUGAGAGGAUGACCAGCCACACUGGAACUGAGACACGGUCCAGACUCCUACGGGAGGCAGCAGUGGGGAAUAUUGCACAAUGGGCGCAAGCCUGAUGCAGCCAUGCCGCGUGUGUGAAGAAGGCCUUAGGGUUGUAAAGCACUUUCAGCGAGGAGGAAGGCAUCACACUUAAUACGUGUGGUGAUUGACGUUACUCGCAGAAGAAGCACCGGCUAACUCCGUGCCAGCAGCCGCGGUAAUACGGAGGGUGCAAGCGUUAAUCGGAAUUACUGGGCGUAAAGCGCACGCAGGCGGUUUGUUAAGUCAGAUGUGAAAUCCCCGCGCUUAACGUGGGAACUGCAUUUGAAACUGGCAAGCUAGAGUCUUGUAGAGGGGGGUAGAAUUCCAGGUGUAGCGGUGAAAUGCGUAGAGAUCUGGAGGAAUACCGGU